AAUAUGAAGGUCAGGCUGAAGACCUUACCCGAUUAGCUGAGAGGUGGUGCAUGGCCGUCGUCAGUUCGUACUGUGAAGCAUCCUGUUAAGUCAGGCAACGAGCGAGACCCACGUCCACAGUUGCCAGCAUACCCUCCGGGGUGAUGGGUACACUGUGGAGACCGCCGCUGCUAAAGCGGAGGAAGGAGUGGGCAACGGUAGGUCAGUAUGCCCCGAAUCUCCCGGGCUACACGCGGGCUACAAUGGUUGGUACAAUGGGCAUCUACCCCGAAAGGGGAAGGAAAUCUCUUAAAGCCAAUCGUAGUUCGGAUUGAGGGCUGCAACUCGCCCUCAUGAAGCUGGAAUCCGUAGUAAUCGCGUUUCAACAGAACGCGGUGAAUACGUCCCUGCUCCUU
rnacentral:rRNA from 1 species